AUAAAAAUAAAAAAAUGUAUAUUAUUUGUUUGCAAUAAAUAAUUACGGUUCCACGUUCUAAAUUGCAAAAUAGACUUAUCAGUAACGAUUGUGACGAUUCUUCUUACUUUUUCAAACGUCAUCGUCAUGACCCUCAGUUGAGAUUGUUAAGAGAAAUAGGGGAAAGUGGGGCAGUUUGGCCACCUUAAGGAAAAGUCGAUAAAAAUGCUGAAAAUAUUAUGAAUUUUUCGAAUGUUUGCAUGAUUUCUAACAAUUUUUAGAUGAAUGCACUAGAUGCGCAUGAUCAAGGUAUUUAUAGAAAGGUACAUUGAUCUAAGCAGUCAGUGGAUGCGGGGAAUGAUAAGCAGCGAGGGGGUAGAAAAUGACAGCUGGUGAGUUGGCUGGCUGGCUACUUCCCUUCCCCUCCGCUGAUUGUUCUCGUUUCCAUGGCACAAUUAUUAUUUUGUUAUGUUUUCAAAAACAAAUUGAACAUAUGUACUCUAGCAGAGACAGAUUUCGAGUAGAGAGAUUGUUCUAGAGUGUCGGAAUUGUGCAUUGAAACGAAAUUGAUAUUCAAAAAGGACCUAUGGAAUAAUUUUGUUGCUGCUAAUCUGAUCUGAAAUGGAAUAUGUCAGCUUGUUUGAGACAUCAAUUGGUCACUGUGCUUUACUCGACUGUUUCUUGCAACGGUGACAGACGAAAUAGAGCAUGAAAGUCGCUGAAAUGGUGUCUCAUUUUGAUCGUUUUUCGGAGUUGAACUUCGCUUUAAAUCUGAACUGCACUUUAUUAGUAUAUUCAAUACAUUGUCUCAGCAGUGCUUGAUGUAAUUUGAAAACCGUUCAAUGAGUUAAACAGUUUUACCGAGUUGACAAUUGCUACUAUAUAUAGGUACUAACCUAUUCAAAGUGCUAUGAAUUCCAGUAAGGAAAAUAGGUCGACAUAUAUCUAACAAAUCCAAAUUUUGAAACAUGCUUUCUGAAAAAAAUAUAACGCUGCCAUAACUUGCAUUUUCAACAGCACAAAUCUAAAAAAAAAACUAAACAGUACUUUGCGCUUUUCAUUUCUAAUCAUCGAUAUGUGUAUUUAACAAUACUUUCGAAGUAAUCCAGUCAAAGGUCUCGUCAUGUACCUACUUCUGAUAAAUACCUACACACAUUUACAAAAAAAAAAUCAGCUGCUAAACAUGAAUUGCAUUUAGGUUCAUAUUUGUUGCUGAUAAAUAGAUCCAAAAUGAGUAAUCUGUGGUGCUGAAUGAAUAGGGUAUGGAAAUGUAUUAAAAAAUUAUGAACAUUUGUGCGAAAAAUAUCAUCCCGUGUAAUGUUGUCUUUUACCAGUACAAACUGUGCAUCUGUUACUUCAAAACGUGAUGGUACAUAUCUUCUGCGCGAAAUCGUACUCCCUUUUAAUAGACUGUGGAAACUCGUUUCUAAAAAUGUGUGAGGCCUUUCUCAACAAUUAUAUUGCGUCAAAUCUGUGGCUUUUUUGACAUUUCUAGAUUGAUUUCAAGCUGGACCGGAACAAACUUUUGAGAAACACCAUAAUUCUAAGGUGUCGGCAAGGGUAGACGCGUCACGCGAAAAUCCUUUUGAGUUUGACAUUUCAUUAUUAAUAAUUGUUAUUCUUUCCGUGCAAUUUUCGCUUCGCUUCGCAAGUCGCGUCUACCCUAGCCGCGCCCUAAGGCUGGUAGAGUUAGACAACAAAACAAUAGUGACUUAAGUGACCGAAAUUAUCGAAAUAGUGACCAAGA
rnacentral:lncRNA from 1 species